rnacentral:lncRNA from 1 species
CAGAAAUACCACAAAGCAACCACGAGGAAGGGUAAAAUAGUCAAAUCACACAGAAAUAAAUAAUUCAUAAAUCAAGUCAUUACAGUAACUUGCUCGCCUAUUAGAUUUUCUGAUGGUUUUUCCAACCUUUUUGAUGGACUAGCAUGUUUGUCUCCUUUAGUGUUUCUGAAUAACCAUUAUCAAGUAUUUCCCCUUCUUCUUCUAAUAGCUCCUCUACUCUAUCACCCCAAGCCUCAGAAACUCAGGCCUUGGUGACAUUGCCAUUUAAUUUUUGUUGAUUCUUCUCUCUUUCUGACAGUUUAUCCUUCCCAGUCCUUGCCUCUACUAUAAUCAUUAUUGAAGCUAUCAAAUUAGCCUGUACUUCAUCCAGCAGUGCACCAACUUGCACUUCUUCACUUCCUAUUUCAUGAUCCUCUUCUAAUGAUUCAAAAGAAUUAUUGGUGAGAAUGACUUUGUCGUGCUAGUUGAGACUAGCAGGAAGACCUUCAGAUUUCACAGUAUUCUACACAUUAAGAUUUCCUACUUUCUUUCCACUUGAUCGAACCCUUGAAUUCCCUUGAAGUAAAGUAUCUUGCUUCUCCUGACGGUGUUGGGCCAUUGCAUCUAUCUUGUGAUCAUCUCCAAUGUUAUCUUUGUUGUUUUUUUAAUUUAAUUUAGGGUGUAGCACUCUACUAUUGUCAUUAGCAUACCCUUGUAACUUACACCUUGUACAAUAUUUGGGUAAGAAGCCAUAUCGAAUUCUCACUGUUUCUAACCUUUUUUCUCCUAUUUUCUCAUUCUAAUGGAUAAAUUUUGAAGGCUUGCUACAAGGUCUACUUGGACCUUUAACUCUAGCACAACUUGGACAAGUCCUGUUCAUAGUUGCCAUAUCAAUCUGCAAUGGCUCAGCAACUAUUGAUGCUAGUGAGAAUAAGGUUUCUUUGGCAAAGAAUGUGGUAAGAAAAAAAAAAAGGGAAAGAGAUCCGUGUUAAAACCUGAGUAGUUUCAACAUCCACUUUGAAUCAAGAAUUAUAUAUGAGAGUUCUCAUUUUAUAUGUAUUACCAUCCUUAAGACUUCAAAUAAUAAGAACGCUUUGACAAAUGUUUACAAAAUCUUCAUUGUUAGCAUAAUGAGUCAUCACGUGUCUAUAACAAAAGAAACCAACUUUACAUCCUCCUUUUAAUCCGCAUUGAAUUGGUAUGAUUUUUCAUAAUUCUUCAAUCAAAAGACCCCCAUAAGAGAAUUUUCCUACAACAGCAUAGGUCAAAUUUUCAAUUUGAUCCAUUCGAGAAACUUCUAUUUCUGUCCAUCUAACAAAAUGAAUACCAUCAACUAGUGAGGCUUCUUUGAAUGGAAUAGGCGCAAUAUCAUAUUUUGGGAUGUUACUGCCUUGCUGCCGUAAAUGGUUUUUAUAUUAGUAAGAUGAUUGAGAGAAUUGGGAGGGUUAAGAGGUUUUGGUUUGAAGAGGAAGUAGAAGCUUGGUUUUGGUGAGCUGUGGCAGAGAAUUGCGAUGGAGAGGGCAAAGAGAGAGACUGGUUAGCCAUUGAAGAUGGUUGACCAAUAGCCGAAGUGGCGAUGGUUGGAUCUAGGUCAAGGAAGGUAGAGUUUUCAUGAGAGAGAAGAGGUUUUUUCUCCAUUUGGCCGAAAAAAAUGGAGAAAAGAGAAUGGGAUAGUGAUUUGUUUUUUGUGAUGGCUUGUGAAGGUUUUCCAGCGUGAUAGCUACCGAAGUCGAAGAUGGUUGUGAUGGAGCUCCGAUGGAAGGAAGUAGAGGUGGAGAAGAAACACAGAGAUAGAGGACAGUGUAAAUGGAGAAGCUAUUAAGGAUAAAAGUAGGUCAUAAUCCGUAAUAAAAUAAAAAUAAUAUUAUUUAGGAUAAUAAUACCUUUAUAUCAUUUAUGAGUGUGUGUUAGAAGAAUAAUAUAAGGACUCGUUUGACUAUAGAUAUCCCACGUAAUAUUAAG